GGAGGGAUCAUUACAGAGUUGCAAAACUCCCUAAACCAUUGUGAACCUACCUUCUACCGUUGCUUCGGCGGGCGGGCCUAGCGCCCCCCCGGCCCCCCGCGGGCGCCCGCCGGAGGAUAACCAAACUCUUGUCAUCAGUGGCCUCUCUGAGUAUUCUUUACUGAAUAAGUCAAAACUUUCAACAACGGAUCUCUUGGUUCUGGCAUCGAUGAAGAACGCAGCGAAAUGCGAUAAGUAAUGUGAAUUGCAGAAUUCAGUGAAUCAUCGAAUCUUUGAACGCACAUUGCGCCCGCCAGUAUUCUGGCGGGCAUGCCUGUCCGAGCGUCAUUUCAACCAUCAAGCCCCCGGGCUUGUGUUGGGGACCUGCGGCUGCCCGCAGGCCCUGAAAACCAGUGGCGGGCUCGCUAGUCACACCGAGCGUAGUAGCAUACAUCUCGCUCAGGGCGUGCUGCGGGUUCCGGCCGUUAAACAGCCUCUGUGCUACACCCAAGGUUGACCUCGGAUCAGGUAGGAAGACCCGCUGAACUUAAGCAUAUCAAUAAGCGGAGGAAAAGAAACCAACAGGGAUUGCCCUAGUAACGGCGAGUGAAGCGGCAACAGCUCAAAUUUGAAAUCUGGCUUCGGCCCGAGUUGUAAUUUGCAGAGGAAGCUUUAGGCGCGGCACCUCCUGAGUCCCCUGGAACGGGGCGCCACAGAGGGUGAGAGCCCCGUAUAGUUGGAUGCCUAGCCUGUGUAAAGCUCCUUCGACGAGUCGAGUAGUUUGGGAAUGCUGCUCAAAAUGGGAGGUAAAUUUCUUCUAAAGCUAAAUACCGGCCAGAGACCGAUAGCGCACAAGUAGAGUGAUCGAAAGAUGAAAAGCACUUUGAAAAGAGGGUUAAAUAGCACGUGAAAUUGUUGAAAGGGAAGCGCUUGUGACCAGACUUGCGCCGGGCUGAUCAUCCGGUGUUCUCACCGGUGCACUCUGCCCGGCUCAGGCCAGCAUCGGUUCUCGCGGGGGGAUAAAGGCCCUGGGAACGUAGCUCCUCCGGGAGUGUUAUAGCCCGGGGCGCAAUGCCCUCGCGGGGACCGAGGUUCGCGCUCUGCAAGGAUGCUGGCGUAAUGGUCACCAGCGACCCGUCUUGAAACACGGACCAAGGAGUCAAGGUUUUGCGCGAGUGUUUGGGUGUAAAACCCGCACGCGUAAUGAAAGUGAACGUAGGUGAGAGCUUCGGCGCAUCAUCGACCGAUCCUGAUGUUCUCGGAUGGAUUUGAGUAGGAGCGUUAAGCCUUGGACCCGAAAGAUGGUGAACUAUGCUUGGAUAGGGUGAAGCCAGAGGAAACUCUGGUGGAGGCUCGCAGCGGUUCUGACGUGCAAAUCGAUCGUCAAAUCUGAGCAUGGGGGCGAAAGACUAAUCGAACCAUCUAGUAGCUGGUUACCGC
rnacentral:misc_RNA from 1 species